AGCCUUCUGUAUUCGUGCCGAGAUUUCGCCACAAACCAGACCACAAGGUUGAUGAGACUUCCAAGAUAAGUGAAGCA
rnacentral:pre_miRNA from 1 species